GACGAACGCUGGCGGCGUGCCUAAUACAUGCAAGUCGAGCGGAUUGAUUCGGAGCUUGCUCCGAUGAUGUCAGCGGCGGACGGGUGAGUAACACGUGGGUAACCUGCCUGGCAGACUGGGAUAACGCUUGGAAACGAGUGCUAAUACCGGAUAAUCUCUUGGAUCGCAUGGUCCGAGAGUAAAAGGAGCUUUUGCUUCACUGCCAGAUGGACCCGCGGCGCAUUAGCUAGUUGGUGAGGUAAUGGCUCACCAAGGCGACGAUGCGUAGCCGACCUGAGAGGGUGACCGGCCACACUGGGACUGAGACACGGCCCAGACUCCUACGGGAGGCAGCAGUAGGGAAUCUUCCGCAAUGGGCGCAAGCCUGACGGAGCAACGCCGCGUGAGUGAA
rnacentral:rRNA from 1 species